CAGGGCUCUAAUAGAGCGAACGAACGAAUCAUGGAUCACAGUGUUGUAGUAGCGGAUGAAAUUAAAUUGAAUUCUAUUAAACAAAUUUAUACAUAAAUUAAGAAAAAGUGAAUUACAAUACUUCUACUUUAAACAAAAUAAAAAAAAUAAUAUAAAAAAAAACAGAAAAGUCCCUAGUAAAAGCGAAAAAAGACGGUGCCCUUUGAAGGCAAAAAGAAAAAAUUUACUGUGUGUAUGUUUGUAUAUGAAAAAAGGUGGUGUGUAAAAGAGAAAAAGAAAAAGUAAAGCAAAUAAAAUAAUAAAAGAAAAAAAAUUAUAGAAAAUCUAUUCAAAUGCUUAAUUAAAGCAAAUCUAAAAAAUGUGGAAAUUCAAUAGAUAUUUUACAACAACACAGCAUUAGCAAAAAGAGAAACGAAAAAAAAAUUCCAAUUGUCAAGAUUUAUUUAUUUUUUUUGCUAGCUUCUGCACACUACACUCUUCUUUAAGUUCAUUGAAGUGCGAAAAUCGGUGUAAAAUAUACAAAAAAUUAUCGGGUUUAUUAUUUCUUUUAUGUAAAAAUUUUAACGCAAAAAAUUGCAUGCUGAGAUAUUUCCACUGCAAAAUAAAUUAAACAAAACAGAAAAAAGUUAAACCAAGAAAAAAAAUUGUUUAUAUUUUUUCCUUGUUUUUGUAUGAAAGCGAAAAAUGUUUUCAUAAUUGAAUGAAAUUGAAUUGAAUUAUCUUGUGUGUCAGUGAAAGAAGUUACAGAAAAAUAAAAGAAAAAAAAAAAGAGAAUAAAAUUAAAGAAAAGCGAAAUUUUUUCUUACGGCAUUUUAAGGGAAAAAAGUGCAGAAAAAAACAAAAGAAAUAGAACAAUAAAAAUUGCAAAAAAUUAAAAUUAAUGUGUGAAAAAUUGUGCAUAAAAACAAAGUAAAAUAAUACAAAUUUAACGAGAAAAGGAGAAGCAAAAAAACUUGUCUGCUGUUAAAUUUUGCAAUACGCUGUUUUUUCCUCAAGAACAUCCUACUUCUAGUCAUCCAUUUUAGUCUUCUUAUUCUAUAACUUUUCUUUACAUUUUUUCUUUACACCUCAUUCUCAUUUGUUGUUAUUGUUGUCUGGUGGUUCAGUCAUUCCUUCCUUUUUCUUACUACGUCGAGUACUACAUCGUUGGAUGGUUUGAGCUCCAUUGUGUCUGCCAUAAAAAUUUGCCAAAGAGUAUUUUUUUUUUUCAUUAGAAGACACAGAAAUUCUGGUUAAGAUAACUUUUUUUUUGCAAAUUAUUAUUGUUAAGCGCGUUUCUUGACUUUUUCCAUUACUGCACUUUCCUUAUUUGGUCCUUCAUGUGCACCUGUUUUUAACCUUCAACAAAAAAGAAAUAAAUAAAGCAAAAACAAGCAACAACCUUGGAUUACUAUUAAAAUUUAUUAAGACUCCAUCAUCUUACUACUACUCAUCAUUGCCAUCAUCCAUUGUGAAAAUUGUCCUCCAUCGAGACUUAAGGAGUCGAGCCUGUCAGUCAGUGAGUGAGUGCUGAAGCAGAGGGAUUUGCAGCCACAAUAUGCCCAAAUGCGAUGUUAAGACACGUUACAUUCCUGCGACUUUCGCUUGGAUUUUAUUAUUAACCACCACAUUUUUGUUCUUCUUUUUUCCCUGCGAAUAUUAUUUAAGAAGUCAUCCAUGGGUACCAGCAUAUCAGGGGGUUAUAACAUUUUUUGUUUUAGCCAAUUUUACAUUGGCCACAUUCAUGGAUCCAGGUGUAAUACCCAAAGCUUCUCCUGAUGAAGAUCGAGAAGAAGAGUUCCGAGCUCCUUUAUAUAAGAAUGCUGAAAUAAAUGGUAUAACGGUAAAAAUGAAAUGGUGUGUAACGUGUAAAUUUUAUCGACCGCCAAGAUGUUCACACUGUUCCGUGUGUAAUCAUUGUAUAGAAACAUUCGAUCAUCAUUGUCCUUGGGUUAAUAAUUGCAUUGGACGACGUAAUUAUAGAUUUUUCUUUUUCUUUUUAGUUUCUCUAUCAAUACACAUGUUGAGCAUAUUUUCUUUAUGCUUAUUUUAUGUAUUAAAAACAAUGCCAAAUAUAAGGCAAACAGCACCAAUAGUAUCCAUGGUAUUAAUGGGUAUUGUAACAAUAUUAGCCAUACCCAUAUUUGGUUUGACAGGUUUUCAUAUGGUCUUAGUGUCGCGGGGGCGUACCACAAACGAACAAGUGACAGGUAAAUUUAAAGGUGGCUAUAAUCCUUUUUCACGUGGCUGUUGGCAUAAUUGUUGCUACACACAAUUUGGUCCACAAUAUCCAAGUCUUCUUAAACCAGAAAAAUAUGCAGCUCGUCGGUCUCAUAAAGAAAAUCAAGGCAUUAGCACGAUAACAACAGAACGUGAUGCUAACAAUCAAUCUAACUCUGGUAGCAUUAUGCGUGGCGGUGGUGGUGCCGGUGUUACGGUUAAAUCUGGUGUCAUGUCUACGGCUAAUGCUCAACAUUCGCCGCAUGGAAUGCCACGCAAUUAUUAUGAACGGGACCAGCGUCAUACACAGGUAAAGACUUAUACGGACCAGGGCAAUGGUUUUAAUCAGCGGUCGGGCAGCACAACGCUUUAUAGUAAGCUCUCGCCUGGUAGGGAAUGUUCAGAUACCGAUAUGGAACCACAGGCAUCACAGAGUCAAGAUUGUGAACCAACACCACCAUUGCAAAGGCAUAAUUCUACCAAUUUCUAUUUGCCACAAUUAGAAAACGGAACGAUAGCCACGGGGCAGGGCAAUAAUGUAAAUGGUGCACAAGGCAAUGGUGGUGGUGGUGGUGGAGGCGGUGGUGAUUCUCCACGUCAUAUGCGCAUGUAUCAUCCAAGGCAUAGUCCUUUAGCCAGACAAAGAGGUUUGGAACCGCAGCGUGGCUUUAAUGAAGCCAUGUCACCCGACCAUCCAAAUCAUCUGCAGCAGCAACAGCAACAACAAGCACAAAAUCGUAGUGGGACAACUGCAACGCCCACUAUGCAACAGCGUAUUAAACCUUUAGGUGUAGCUACCCCUCUGGUUAUGGCCAGUCCUGUUAGAAGCCUUAAAUGAUCAACUAAAUAUGUAAAAUAUAUCUUUCUAUAAGUUUAAAUAAAACCAUAAAUAUAAAUAUGAAAGAGAGAGAUACAAAAAAAAGAGAGUGCGGGCACACACAAACACACAACUUCUCAAUUCAUCAUCAAUGUAUCAAUAUUGUAUAUCACCUCCUCUUCCUAGUUAUGCACCACCAACUCUACUCUUAAUACAGACUAAAAAAAAAGAAAAUUAUAUUAUAAUUUUAUUAUUCAAUUAUUCCGUCCAAUAUCAAAAAAUAUAAAACUGAACUCUUCUAUCAUCUGUGUUUUUUACCUCUUCUACCUCUACAACUUCUUUAUAACUAUAAUUUAUUUUUCACCUAAAACUUGAGAUCAAAUCCUGGCACACCCACUCAACCUCGAAGACCUGAUUUUAUUGGUCUCAAUCAACAGCAACAA
rnacentral:misc_RNA from 1 species